GAUGAACGCUAGCGGGAGGCCUAACACAUGCAAGUCGAACGCGAGUAGCAAUACUCGAGUGGCGCACGGGUGCGUAACGCGUGGGAACCUUCCUCGUAGUUCGGAAUAACUCAGGGAAACUUGAGCUAAUACCGAAUGCCUCCUUCGGGAGAAAGAUUUAUCGCUACGAGAUGGGCCCGCGUCAGAUUAGGUAGUUGGUGAGGUAACGGCUCACCAAGCCGACGAUCUGUAGCUGGUCUGAGCGGAUGAUCAGCCACACUGGGACUGAGACACGGCCCAGACUCCUACGGGAGGCAGCAGUGGGGAAUAUUGGACAAUGGGCGAAAGCCUGAUCCAGCAAUGCCGCGUGCAGGAAGAAGGCCUUCGGGUUGUAAACUGCUUUUGUACGGAGCGAAAAGGUCUCCUCUAAUACAGGGGGCUCAUGACGGUACCGUAAGAAUAAGCACCGGCUAACUACGUGCCAGCCGCCGCCGUAA
rnacentral:rRNA from 1 species